rnacentral:rRNA from 1 species
CCUACGGGUGGCAGCAGUGAGGAAUAUUGGUCAAUGGGCGCGAGCCUGAACCAGCCAAGUAGCGUGAAGGAUGACUGCCCUACGGGUUUUAAACUUUUUUUAUAAAGAAAUAAAUUGAGGCAUGUGUGCCUUUUUGUAUGUACUUUAUGAAUAAGGCUCGGCUAACUCCGUGCCAGCAGCCGCGGUAAUACGGAGGGUCCGAGCGUUAUCCGGAUUUAUUGGGUUUAAAGGGAGCGUAGAUGGGUUAGUAAGUCAGUUGUGAAAGUUUGCGUCUCAACCGUAAAAUUGCAAUUGAUACUGGCAGUCGUGAGUACAGUUGAGGUAGGUGGAAUUCGUGGUGUAGCGGUAAAAUGCUUAGAUAUCAAGAAGAACUCCGAUUGCGAAGGCAGCUUACUAAA